UUAAAUUGAAGAGUUUGAUCAUGGCUCAGAUUGAACGCUGGCGGCAGGCCUAACACAUGCAAGUCGAACGGUAACAGGAAACAGCUUGCUGUUUCGCUGACGAGUGGCGGACGGGUGAGUAAUGUCUGGGAAACUGCCUGAUGGAGGGGGAUAA
rnacentral:rRNA from 2 species